AGAGUCUCCUCUUUUCUUCCCCAAUCUGCUGCCCCCUCUUCCCCCGACCCUCCCCCAAUCCCCGCCUCCUCUCCUCCUUCCCGGUCCGUCGCCUCUCUGGCCGUCGUCCCGUCCCCAACUGGGCUGCCCAUGUAUGGCCACUGCUCAGCGCAGCACCACCCCGUCCUCCCUCGUCAGCCGCCGCCGAUCUUCUCGCUGGGGUGGAGGAGUAGGGGAUCCUGCCAGAUCCGACCUGCAGGCAAAGGGCGACGGCGGGGGCGCUUGAUUCGAUCCUGCGCCACAGGUCCGUGCAGGAGAGAGAGGAGGGAGAAAGAGAGAGCAAAGAGGAGUGGCUGAUGACGAGUGGAGGGAGAAAGAGAGAGGAAAUAGGAGAGGGAGGCUCGGCAGCGGACGGGACAGGGUCGCCGGCCGGUGUCGGCCUGCGCCGGCGAGUUCGCUCGCCCAGCUGCCAAAUAGGGAAAGGCGACGGGACCGGCAUCCGGGGCGGCGGCGGCGGCGGGACUGCAGGAACUGGCCGAGGUGAUCCUCGCCAAACAAGCGGGCGGCAGCAAGGUGCUCCCCACGGUGAGGAACGGACGCGCUCAACGCCUUCCUUCCCAACCAGAUAUGAGAAAGAAGAAAUAGGACCAAGAAAAUUAGUUGCUCAUAUAUUCAUGUGUCGUGCAGAGAAGAAACCGAAUGGAGAACUUGGUAUGCCGAGUAAUGUGCAGGUUGCUUUUGUCCUCUCAUCUACUGUUUGGUCUUCGUCUAUUGCUCUGCUGGCUCGUCAUCACCUUGGUUGGAGGUUGUUCUUGGUGUCCUGCCAUUUGUUCUUGUUAGAGCUAACUGAAAAUAUUUGUUCUCACCUAUGCUAAUGCCUUUCGGUUAAACUAGAAAUUGUUUCAUUGUUGGAAGCUUUCAUCUGCAUAUAUGCGUAAGGGGCUGUGUAUUUAUUUUGUUUCAUUCAUUUUUUGGUCUAUUUAUUUUGCACAGAAAACCAUUUGUGGUAUGCUUUGAUGGGCCUUAUUUAAUACAGUACAGACAAAAUUGGAAGUAGUAGCAAACCAGCCAUAAUUUUUUUGAGAGAACUAUGCUAACCACAAGCAAUGAUGUACUCCUGUCAUUUUGCCAUGAUAUUGUAGCCCACUUCCAAGACUCUAUGUACUAAUGUUAGCUACUUGCUUCUUUAGCUGCUCUAAUUAGGAACCAAUUCUCUGUGUGGUUUAUCCUCUUAAAAUUGUUACUAUUCACUUAGUGGGGGAGUGUAAGCAGUAGCUGAUUUUAGAGAACACUACACACCAGAGCAGGAAGACGAAGUCAGGAAGGAGAAUGCAUGUACCCUUGAGGACUGAAGAAUGAUGUUUAAUCUUGCUUUUGUCUACGCUGCUAUUCUUGGUUCAGAUCCUUACCUUCGGUUCAGUUCCAUGUAGUCUUAUGGAUAGAUGGACAAGUUGGUGAAAACUGAAAACUACCGGAUGGGUUAAUUAAUCGUUGUUGCCCCUAAUUUUGUUAAAGCUUCAUCAACACCUUACAUUUGCUUGGUAGAAAUUUAAACUGAACACCAACUUCAUUUAUGCUAUACUCGGGUGAUGGAUUCCUUCAGAUAUACAAAUUCCUCGAGCAAAGUUUACAAUGCUUUUGUGCCACUUAUGAUAUGCUUCACAAUUUUUUUGUCUUUCCUUGUGGAUCGUCCAUUUGAACUAAUAUAUAUCAAUGUAAAUAACCUUACAUUUCCUUCUCUUUCAAUCGAUUUAAGGUUCUCAUAUAUAAUGAUUACUAAUGACCAGCUGCAGCCACCGCCUAAUCUAACAUUGUUGUACUCAUGGCUUUUGGCAGCUGUGUAUUCCAUUUAGUUACCUUUGCCUAAUGCGUCCUGAUGCGAGGCAUUCUUGUUGCCCUGUACACAGCUUUGCGUUGUAUGAUUGUUACUAUUUCUCCCUGCGUUCUCUCCUUUGCAUUGUCUGACUAUUACAUGAUUAAUAGAUGAACACUCCUAUAUCGCAAUGAAAGGCAAGGACAAGCUCCUGUGACUAAAUACCUAGCAAAUCACCGUGCCUAGGAACUCUCGUCGCAAGCUCUUCACUUCGUCUUCCAAAACCAAGGGAACUACAUCAUCUGCGGCUGUGCCUAAAGAUCCUACCCAAACUGCAGAAACUGCUUUUGCUGGAGAUGUUGUUGACCCUGCAUCCAAAACAAAUGAAACUAAGCAAGAUGCUGCUGCUGCAGCUACUGACGAUAUGAAGAAUGUGCAAUCUGAUCAGACUAAUUGAACAUAUAAACCCUGCUGGGCUACCUGCCCAGCGAGGGCACUUCCGUGCGCUGCUGCUUCAGGCCGUUUGAUAUUUUUACCGUACUGUGUUUUUUGAUGCUGGCACUCAGUCAACCGGUCAUUCGUUUUGUACGUUUAGGCUGCCAUCUCAAAGAAAAGAAAUAACAGUUUGAGUAAGUCAUUACAAGAAAUAUGUACCAGGCAACCUCCACACAACAACCACCUCGACCCAAAGCUUAAUCUAUCUCAGGAAAAGAAAUUACAUCCUAGGGAAAAGAACAAAAUCACUAAGUACGACAGAUGAAUCCAUGUAAAAAUCCUGAAAUAGAAAAAGAGAGUUGCUGAUAGUCAGCUACCUUGGCGUUGUGCGGCCACACCCAGGUACUGUGUUUUUUGACGCUGGCACUCAGUCAACCGGUCGUUCGUUUUGUACGUUGCUGGAUGAUUUUCUAAUCACUUCAUUUUUUUUCCAGCUGAGAUCUGCUUGCAGUUUACUAAAUUGUUACCAGACUUCAAAUGUACUACCUAGCAGACUAGCAAGUGUAUAUGAUGACUCCUUUUAUCGUUGAUGAAGGAAUUGGGAUUUCUUUAAGGGAAAUGAUAACAAUGGUGUAUGAAAUGGUAAGGCAAAUGGUGUUUUUUUUCCAUUGUCAUGUUUAAUGGUAUAUUGGCAUGAAGUCAGAGCAGCACCUGAAGACUACACAAGAUAGUUUCUGGUGACCUUCAGUCUAUAUGUCUUAACCAACAGUAGCCACCUUUUGUUUCGUAUCAAUCGAUCCAGCAAGAUAUGUAUAGCCUUUAGAUUUCCAUUCGUGCAUGUGAUACUGCAUGUACACUUAGAUCUCAUUACUGUCUUUGUGGUCAAAACAAAGUUUGUGAUCACUUGUUCUACAUAUGUAAUCAACCGCCCUUCUACUAAUAUUUUCAGAAGACUAUUUAUAUAUGUUUACACUGGUUAGAGAAAAUCAUGACAUUGCCGGCAACAAUUUUUUAUUUCCAUAUGUUCCAAUUUGUCUCUAAAUAUUUUUAUGUGUACUCUUUCAAUACCUGGCUUGCUCUCGCCCUUUGCGCCAUUGGCGCAACGGGUCAUCUAGUGAGAAGAAACGUCCAGCUGACAAGGAUGCAAACCAAGAAGGAGGUCUUAAGAGGCCACACUCACCACUUGGAGGGAUGAUAUUUCAGCGAACCUCGUCAAGCAGGCCAAAGAACUUCAUAUUAUGGCUGAAAAGCAUUUUGAGGCAUUGGUAUCCCAUGGACCAACGCUCCCGCUUGAUAUGAUCCCGUCGGUGACCGAUGGCAAACUGGGCGAGAAGCACCGCUUCCACUUGCCGACCUCGGACCCCGUGUCUGAGAGGCACGUCAGGAUCGUCCGCAUGGACUUAGAAGCCAUCCAGCGUCACCCCACACAGAAGCCUCUUUCCAGGGGCAAUCUCCUCAAAGAGAUAGAGAUGACCACGACAGCGUGGGUGAAAAUGUACGACGACAUGUUCCUUGAUGAUCUGUUGCAGUUAGAUGCACUUCUGAAGUCUUUGGCUCAUCGCCUGGCGGGGACCGAAAAUCCAGACGACUAUGAAGAGAUGGAUGUGACUUUCGCGGAUAAGGAGGUCCGUCCGUUUCUCAAAAAGCUAGUGGCUGCCCACGCCGACGCGUACGAGCAGCGCUUGUCAAAGGCGACCGCCGUAAGCUGGAGAGCCGGCGUGUUGAACUAGAGGCUUCAAGGGAGUGGCUUUAGAGGGAGGCCGAGGAGCAUGAGAAGCUGGCGGCUCUCGCGAGGAAACGCGAGGCUACUGCUCGCUGCAGCGGGGAAGCCAUCAUCCACGCACUUGAAGCUUAUAUACAUGCAGUGGCCCGCUCGACGGAAAGGGUCAAUGCAAUGGCCCGUUCAUCCGUUGCCUGUCGAGGCGACGCAAUAAGGCCUCCACCUCCUCACGCCGUUGUGCCAUUGCAUUGACCCUUUCCGUCGAACAGGCCACUGCAUGGUUGUAAGCUUCAAUUGUGUGGACGAGGGCUUCCCCGCUGCGGCAAGCAACAGCCUCGCGUUUCCUCGCAGGAGCCACCAGCUUCUCAUGCUCCUCGGCCUCCCUCUGAAGCCACUCCAUUGAAGCCACCAGCUCAGCAUGCCGGCUCUGGUGUGGGCAGCCACCAGCUUUUUGAGGAAUGGGCGCACCUCCUUAUCCGCGAAAGUCACGUCCUUCUCUUCAUAGUCGUCUGGAUUUUUGGUUCCUGCUAGGCGAUGAGCUAAAGACUUCAGAAGUGCAUCUAACUGCAGCAGAUCAUCAGGGAACACGAUGUCGUACAUUUUCGCCAGCGCUGUUGUAGCCAUCUCUAUCUCUUUGAGGAGAUUGCCCUUGGAAAGAGGCUAUUGGGUGAGGUGAAGCUGGAUGGCUUCUAAGUCCAUGCGAACAAUCCUGGCAUGCCUCUCAGACACGGGGUUCGAGGUCGGCAGGUGGAAGCGGUACUUCUCCCCCAGUUUGCCCUCGGUCACCGGCGGGAUCAUAUCAAGCGGGAGCGUUGGUCCAUGGGACACCAAUGCCUCAAAAUGCUUUUCAGCCAUAAUAUGAAGUUCUUUGGCAUGCUUGACGAGGUUCGCUGAAAUAUCAUCCCUUCCAGGUGCAUUAUCCACAAAAAAGAAAAUACGGAAGCGUUAUCCAAGUGCUCCAUCUAUAUAAAAAACACGUAUGUAAAAAAAUGUGCUUGAAGGGUACCUCCAAGUGGUGAGCAUGACCUCUGGGUUUGCAUCCUUGUCAGCUGGACGUUUCUUCUCAUGCCUAGAGAUGGCUGAGACGACCCCAAUACCGCGAGCUCGUCGGUGCGGAUGAUGAGCUCUUGGCUUUAUCAAGGUCUAUCCACGACCUGCGGUCCCAGUUCCUUAUCCAUCAGGUCUAUCACCUCGUCCAGAUUGUCCCAGAAAAUGAAUAUAGGAAAAGAUGUUGGAGGGGCUUCACGAUUGCAUAAAAAAAAUUAAUGCGAGUGUCAAAACAUACCUUUGGGGUUUCAAAGGAUGCGGCACCAACUUUGUGACA